ACACAUACACACUAGCAUGUAUUAAAGUUGUGGAAAACAUUUUCCACAUAACAGACAGCUGGCACAAUUUUGCCAGAAAAGCUGACACUUAUGAAUGAAAAAUAAAGCAAACAGAAACCUGUGUUACCUUAGAGGACAAUGGGACAGCUUCAGGGCAUGGAGUAAAUUCUGCUUGUCUUGACAUGGAGACACUGGCUGAAUUUUGCCCAAGAGAUGUUAGCAACAUUCAGAUUCCUAAUGGGAAGAGUGGGGCGAGGGGGAGUAGGGUCUUUUAGCACAUAUGGAAAAACACACAUAGAAAUGAUGAAAAAAUGUAUUUAAGCAGCAAAAGCAGCAUGUACAGUACCCCUGUAACAAAGUUUGAAGCAGGGACUUUUCUUGACAAUAAAAAUAAUGCACACAACAUUAGUUUGUUUUGGUGGGAGGGAGAAUGCAAGAAAGAUGGAGGGGGGCGGGAUUGGAGCCUGCAAGUGAUAGCAACAACCACCAAAUGAAGGAUAGAGAAACAAAGAAGGAAGGAAAGAGCAGAGAUAAAAGCAAGGGCAGAUGCUGUUCAGUCAUUGGAAAAGUUGGAGCACUAGCUAAGGUCAGUGCCCCAAGCAGCAGUGUCAAUAACUACAAGUAUAAUAGAAGUAACGGAGCUCUAAUUAGCAGCAUCUUCUUCAUGUCUUCUGGCUAACCAAAGCCAGUAGCAGAGGCAUCUACUAAAGAGCCAAGAGAUCUUCUACAUAUAACUAAAAGAGUCUUCUCUACAGGGUCAGACCAAAGGUCCAUCUAGCCCAGUAUCCUGACUUCUGACAGUGGCCAAUGCCAGGUGCUCCAGACGGGGAAUGAAUAGAAUAGGUAAUCAUCAAGUGAUCCAUCCACUGUCACCCAUUCCCAUAUGAGUUCAUCACUGAAAGACUCAGAGAAAUCACACAGUGAGCCCAAUGGUUUUGGUAGCCUCUAGUUAGAGCCAAAUCAUUGAUGUCUUUUUCACACAAGUAGUCCCAUUUAUUAAGGAUGAGCGCAUAAAAAUGUAUUUGUUAUGCAUGUAACCUUAGGCAAUCACAUUUCAAAAUGCUGGCCUAUGUGACUUGCUUAAAGCUACAUGGUGAGUCAGUGGCAGAAUCAGGAACAGAAACUGUGGGUCUAAUUCAGAGGUGAUAUAUAAAGGAGUGUAAGUUAGACUCCUUUACAUUAACUUGUGCUCCCUUAAUGCAAUUUACAGUAAUGCUACUGGUGUGCAAGGGAGUCUGAAUUAGAGUAAUUUAUAAGCCAAAUUGCCAGAAGAAGGGCCUUGCCACUACAGAUGUGACCUCCCUAUGACAUCUCUGACCGUAAUGGCAUCGCUGCCUGCCUGAAGUAUCUACAAAAGAAUGGGCAACCCUCAGAAAUCUACCCCAAACACAUUGCCAAAAUCAUCAAUUUCAGCCUCACUCAUAACUUUUUAUUUAACAACAAACACUUUGUCCAAACCAUGGGAACAGCCAGGAGUACUAGAAUGUCUCACCAAUAGAUCAGCCUCUUCAUGGGCCAUCUCAAGGAACAAUUUCUAGGAAAAUGCACCAUGAAACCAGUGAUAUACCUGACAUCCAUUGAUAUUUUCAUCCUCUGGAUAGAUGACCUAAACUCCCUUCUAGAUUUCCAUCACAACUUCAACCACCACCACCCAUCCCAUCAAACUUUCUAAAAUACUCCAGCACCAGCAUCAACUUCCUGGACACUGUGAUCAGCUUCAGCAAUGGAACCCUAUAGACAACUAUAUACAAGAAACCCAUAGAUCAUCACACGUACCUCUUCAAAUCCAGUAGCCACCCCAGACACCCCAAGCAGAGCUGGUGCUAGUCCACUGGGAGCCCUAAGCAAGAAUAUUUGGGGGGGGGGUGCCCCAAUAUUAAAACAGGCAAGUUCUUAUAAUAAAAAGUGAAUAGGCUGUGAGCUGCCUGGGGCCCUAAGCAAUUGCUUAGUGUGCUUAUGACUAGCUCUCCAUG